CGAAUACGAGACGCUACGGCGUCGAAGUAGUGUAUGUCAUGCUUCCAAGAAAAGCUUGCACUGUCAUAAAUAAGAAAUGCCUGUACCAUAACCGACACAGGUGGGUAGGUAGAGUAUACUAAGGGGCGCGAGAUAACUCUCUCUAAGGAACUCGGCAAAAUAACUCCGUAACUUCGGGAGAAGGAGUGCCUUAUUUAAUAAGGUUGCAAUAACAAGAUCCAAGCAACUGUUUACCAAAAACACAGGUCUCCGCUAAGUCGUAAGACGAUGUAUGGGGGCUGACGCCUGCCCAGUGCCAGAAGGUUAAGAAGUUGGUUAGCAUCUGCGAAGCUGAUAACUGAAGCCCUGGUGAACGGCGGCCGUAACAAUAACGGUCCUAAGGUAGCGAAAUUCCUUGUCGGGUAAGUUCCGACCCGCACGAAAGGCGUAAUGAUUUGGAUACUGUCUCGGAGAGGGGCUCGGUGAAAUAGACUUGUCUGUGAAGAUGCGGACUACCUGCACCUGGACAGAAAGACCCUAUGAAGCUUUACUGUAACUUGAAAUUGAAAUUGGACUUUAUUCGCGCAGUAUAGGUGGGAGGCGUUGAAAAUACUCUUGCGGGAGUAUUGGAGCUAUCAGUGAGAUACCACUCUUAUAAUGUUAGAUUUCUAACUUUGAACCAUUAUCUGGUCAAAGAACAGUUUCAGGCGGGCAGUUUGACUGGGGCGGUCGCCUCCCAAACGGUAACGGAGGCGUACAAAGGUUUCCUCUGAACGGAUAGAAAUCGUAUCUAGAGUAUAAAGGCAUAAGGAAGCUUGACUGUGAGACCUACAAGUCGAGCAGGGACGAAAGUCGGUCUUAGUGAUCUGACGGUACUGAGUGGAAAGGCCGUCACUCAACGGAUAAAAGUUACUCUAAGGAUAACAGGCUGAUCUCCCCCAAGAGUUCACAUCGACGGGGAGGUUUGGCACCUCGAUGUCGGCUCAUCGCAUCCUGGGGCGGUAGUACGUCCCAAGGGUUGGGCUGUUCGCCCAUGAAAGCGGUACGCGAGCUGGGUUCAGAACGUCGUGAGACAGUUCGGUCCAUAUCCGGUGUAGGCGUUAGAAUAUUGAGAGGAGCCUCCUCUAGUACGAGAGGACCGAGAAGGACAUACCUCUGGUGUACCAGUUAUCGUGCCAACGGUAAACGCUGGGUAGCUAUGUAUGGAGUGGAUAACCGCUGAAAGCAUCUAAGUGGGAAGCCCACCUCAAGAUAAG
rnacentral:rRNA from 1 species